GGGGGUGUAGCUCAGUUGGGAGAGCGCCUGCCUUGCACGCAGGAGGUCAUGGGUUCGAUCCCCUUCACCUCCA
rnacentral:tRNA from 1 species